AUUGGUGUUCAGGAAGAGGAGGCUGGGCUCUUCUCGGGGAGUGGAGUGCUAUGACAGAUGAGACUUUCAUGCAAGAAAAUAAAUCCUGCACAUUUGAUGUACUGCUUUAAACUUAAAGACCUCUUUGGACCCGAAAUUGUAAGGAUUCUAUAAACCUGGAGAGUAAUCCUAAGAAAAAUCAUCAGAAGAAAGGAAUUUGUAGAACUAAAACUGCAAACAUCCAGAAUCUUGAUGGUGUGCCAAGCCAAAUGUCAACUGGAACUCAACCAAAAACUAAAGUGCUCUCUGAUAACAGACCCAAAGAAAGAGUGGCAUGUCCCUGAAAUGGAGCGAAGGAUACACCAAAGGAAGAGUUGCUACAUCCCAUCUCUCCUGGGAAAGGAACAUGCUGCAGGGAGAGAGUUGCGAGAGCUCUUCACCCUUCUACCCUGCAGCAAAGGAAAAUGGGUCUCCUCAAGGAAGGCAUUUCCCCACAGCAAAGCUGCAAGCAACAUGAAAUAAUGCACCAUGACUAUGGGUUCUUGGCAAAGGAUUCCUGGCCUGGUACAGUUAGAAAUUGGGCUCUAUUCUCAAGCAAAGGGUUCCAACAAAAAAAUACCGCAGCAAGCAGACCGUGGAAUGUGCUUCUCCACUCUUCCAUACGGGGUGAUGGCACAGAAUCAGAGUUGAACAUGGGAGGGAAGUGGAAGGGAUAAAAAUGUAAUGGAAUUGCAGAGUUGUUGGCAUUCAGAUGUGUAGGUGGUGGGUGGCAAGUCCUGCUUAUUGCCUGUGGUUGUGAGAGGCAAUGGUGAUGGGUCUUAUUACAUAGCAGUAAGAGAAGGAGAAAAAAAUAUAUAUCUUUUCAUUUGUCAAAGUUAUUUAUCGCAGGAUUAUUUGUAAUUUUAGAAAUUUGGAGAAAAAUAUUCAAAAUUGUGAAAGCUUUAAAAUAAAUUAUAGUGUGUUUAUCCCACAGAAUUUUAGAUAUUCAUUAAAAACUACAUUUUAAAAGAAAAUACAUUGGAAAAAUGCUCACAAUCUACUGCUUAGUGAAAAAAAAUGAAAAACUUGGUAUAAAAAUUCUUCCAAGUUUUUUUAAUAUGCAAGGAAAAAAAUAAAAAGGAAAAUUUUCAAAUGUUA
rnacentral:lncRNA from 1 species